rnacentral:rRNA from 1 species
UAACAUGCAGUCGAGCGAUGGAUUAAGAGCUUGCUCUUAUGAAGUUAGCGGCGGACGGGUGAGUAACACGUGGGUAACCUGCCCAUAAGACUGGGAUAACUCCGGGAAACCGGGGCUAAUACCGGAUAACAUUUUGAACCGCAUGGUUCGAAAUUGAAAGGCGGCUUCGGCUGUCACUUAUGGAUGGACCCGCGUCGCAUUAGCUAGUUGGUGAGGUAACGGCUCACCAAGGCAACGAUGCGUAGCCGACCUGAGAGGGUGAUCGGCCACACUGGGACUGAGACACGGCCCAGACUCCUACGGGAGGCAGCAGUAGGGAAUCUUCCGCAAUGGACGAAAGUCUGACGGAGCAACGCCGCGUGAGUGAUGAAGGCUUUCGGGUCGUAAAACUCUGUUGUUAGGGAAGAACAAGUGCUAGUUGAAUAAGCUGGCACCUUGACGGUACCUAACCAGAAAGCCACGGCUAACUACGUGCCAGCAGCCGCGGUAAUACGUAGGUGGCAAGCGUUAUCCGGAAUUAUUGGGCGUAAAGCGCGCGCAGGUGGUUUCUUAAGUCUGAUGUGAAAGCCCACGGCUCAACCGUGGAGGGUCAUUGGAAACUGGGAGACUUGAGUGCAGAAGAGGAAAGUGGAAUUCCAUGUGUAGCGGGAAAAUGCGCGU